rnacentral:lncRNA from 1 species
GAAAUCUAAUUUUGGUUUUUAGUUAUUAAAUAUUAAGAGCUACAUAGUAUGAUAGUUGUUAAAUGGGUCAUUUUGUAUCACAUUUCAGGUGGUGAUUAAGAUAUUGGAAAAGCUUAUUGAUAUUCAUAGCAGCUUGUCUUGGUGAGUGGAUAAAACUUAAUUUUCAGAAACAAGUAUUCAUUAAAUUUUGAAGUUACUUAUUUUAUAAAGUUAAGUAGAUAGCAUGAUUUUCGAAAAAAAAAUUGAUUUUAUAAUUAGUUCUUUUUAAUGUUUAAUUCAGUUCAGUUAAAUCAUUUGAUUAGUAAGUUGUAUGAAUAUUAAAUGUUUCAGCAUAAUUAAAGUUAUUUUAAAAUCACCAGAAAGUACCCAAGUGAUUUUACCCCAAUCUGCACUGGUGUGAAUGUGUUUCCACAGUGUAUAACUAGUUAUGGUGAUUUUACCUGCUCUGCACUAUUGUGAAUGUGUUUCUAUAGUGUAUGAACAGAUUAUCAGAGGUCUCUAGGACCCACUCUCGUACACACAUAGGCUUUGGACCGUGUACUAGGGUGAUUAGCCUUUGGGGCAGCUCUGCGUACGUACGACCAGAUUAUCAAAUGUGAAUGAACUUGUCUUGUACAUCGAGAUUACUCUGUACAUGAGUAAUGCUAUUCAUAAGGUACCUUUUUGGUGGAAUUUUUCGGUAUUUUUACAGUUUAUCAGAUUUUAGAAUAUAGAAUUCAGUUAAUUCAGUUUUCAAAAUAAAUCUUUUAGCUUAUAGUAUUGAGUAGCAAUAAUAUUUCAUAGAUUUUCAUGGAUAUCAGAUUAAUUAUGUCAUUAUACUUUACAGUUGCUUAUCCAGAAUUAAGAACAAAGAAUUUUAUAAUGCAAUCAUGUUUAGUUUUAAAAGUGUUACCAG